GAAAAUAAUAUUACAAAGGAGUUCACAAAUAAAAGUACAAGUUUAGAUUUUCCAAAUCGAUUAGAAAACAACAUAGCUUUCAAAUGAUUAUAAUAACAUAAGUUUCAAAUACAUUGCUAGCAUAAGUGACAUCCUCCGACAAAAGCAUGUAGAUGAGAACACUAUAUAGAAUCACCGAGGCCACCGGCAGUUAGCCACCAUCCUUAGCAGGCUGAAGACUUCACCUGCAACAUGGUGGGAUAAACCCUGAGUACUCAAAUGUACUCAGCUAGACUUACCCGACAGGAGAGAAAAUAAAAGACUCUCAAUGAUAUGCAAGGCUAUUUGGUGGAGUUUGUUGGAUAGCAUAACUUUGCCAAAAAGAGCAUUACUAUCACGAGUCCUUACAUUCAACCUUUUAGUCAAUAUUUUAGCAUCAAGUUCGGUUAAGCUACCAUAGCUAGAUUUUGCACCUAUUCUAUAGCAAUCACUUGAUUAUUAAGCAUCAUAUUAAUAACCAUAUCCGGUUUAUCAUAUAGCCAUCAUCAUCAUCAUAACCAUUAUGUUUCAUUUAGUGUAUCUACGUUGCCGUUGCUCGAGUCAAGUUCUCACUAUCCGGGAGAGACGGCGAUUCGAAUCGAUUCCUAUCCAGCUGGAGGGGUAUUCCUAGCACUCACCCAAGCAUACCUCGCAAGGGCAGCUCGGAUCACCUUUAGCACAACUCUGAACCAAUUCGCGGGUCCGUCCAGCGCCGCACCCCCAGGGACCGCCAAUCUGCCAGGGCAGGACUCUAACCUGACACCUUGGGCUUACGCCAUUGACUCCCCGCACAUCCUUGCUACCAACCGGGGUGCACACUCAUACAGAACGGGGUAUCCGGCCUGAGUUGCACUCGUAGGCUUCGCAGUCGGAACGACUUAUCCGGCCAACUAAGUGUUAGGCAUGCGUUCAACAUGACACGAGGACGUACAGCGAUUCGGUCCUUAACCGACACAGACAGGGAUAGAUUCACACCCAAGACCUCCAUGCCUUGUUGCUUCACUAUCGUCAUCCCGCCGGUCUCAAAUUCAUUAUUAGCACAUGGUUAUUUCCACGAUAGCAAAUAUAGCCAACCAUGAUCUGGUAUCCACCUAUCUCUCGCAGGUGACAGGAAAUCACCUGGCUUCUACCGAGCUAAGCAUAGAACGUCUUCCUUAUACUAGUAAGGGUUCAGGUAGUUUCGUAUAGUGGACAAGGUAGGAAUAUAUGCACCAACGGUUUCAUUCAACUCCUAUCACCUAAUGCAUCAUAUAAAGGUAUACUCUUGUGCUUUUAUAAAAAGAGAGGGUAGGAGACUUAGAAUGCUCCGAGGCUUGCCUGGAAUCCGACACAAGUCAGUUAAGUUAGCUUGCGCCAUCUUGACGGCAUCCAAGUUCACAACACUUGUGUAGUCCUUCAAUCAUCCCGAUAGGUCCACCAUCACGUCCUUCACGCGGUUCAUCUAGCGUACCUAGAUGACAUGCAAGAUGCAAGUGCAUGAACACAUGUUUCAUAGGAUCACAUAACACUAAUUAACACCACCAAGACAUGAGUCACUUGAAACCACACACAAUGUAAGUUAAUCAAGCAUUCAUGCAUUUUUAGCAAAUUCUGGACAUACAUGCAACAGUUGAGUAAAUAAAUCAUAACCAGAGUUAUACAGAUCCAAAAUCCAUGCAACAAGAC
rnacentral:lncRNA from 1 species